GGUUAAGCGACUAAGCGUACACGGUGGAUGCCCUGGCAGUCAGAGGCGAUGAAGGACGUGCUAAUCUGCGAUAAGCGUCGGUAAGGUGAUAUGAACCGUUAUAACCGGCGAUUUCCGAAUGGGGAAACCCAGUGUGUUUCGACACACUAUCAUUAACUGAAUCCAUAGGUUAAUGAGGCGAACCGGGGGAACUGAAACAUCUAAGUACCCCGAGGAAAAGAAAUCAACCGAGAUUCCCCCAGUAGCGGCGAGCGAACGGGGAGCAGCCCAGAGCCUGAAUCAGUGUGUGUGUUAGUGGAAGCGUCUGGAAAGGCGCGCGAUACAGGGUGACAGCCCCGUACACAAAAAUGCACAUACUGUGAGCUCGAUGAGUAGGGCGGGACACGUGGUAUCCUGUCUGAAUAUGGGGGGACCAUCCUCCAAGGCUAAAUACUCCUGACUGACCGAUAGUGAACCAGUACCGUGAGGGAAAGGCGAAAAGAACCCCGGCGAGGGGAGUGAAAAAGAACCUGAAACCGUGUACGUACAAGCAGUGGGAGCACGCUUAGGCGUGUGACUGCGUACCUUUUGUAUAAUGGGUCAGCGACUUAUAUUCUGUAGCAAGGUUAACCGAAUAGGGGAGCCGAAGGGAAACCGAGUCUUAACUGGGCGUUAAGUUGCAGGGUAUAGACCCGAAACCCGGUGAUCUAGCCAUGGGCAGGUUGAAGGUUGGGUAACACUAACUGGAGGACCGAACCGACUAAUGUUGAAAAAUUAGCGGAUGACUUGUGGCUGGGGGUGAAAGGCCAAUCAAACCGGGAGAUAGCUGGUUCUCCCCGAAAGCUAUUUAGGUAGCGUCUCGUGAAUUCAUCUCCGGGGGUAGAGCACUGUUUCGGCAAGGGGGUCAUCCCGACUUACCAACCCGAUGCAAACUGCGAAUACCGGAGAAUGUUAUCACGGGAGACACACGGCGGGUGCUAACGUCCGUCGUGAAGAGGGAAACAACCCAGACCGCCAGCUAAGGUCCCAAAGUCAUGGUUAAGUGGGAAACGAUGUGGGAAGGCCCAGACAGCCAGGAUGUUGGCUUAGAAGCAGCCAUCAUUUAAAGAAAGCGUAAUAGCUCACUGGUCGAGUCGGCCUGCGCGGAAGAUGUAACGGGGCUAAACCAUGCACCGAAGCUGCGGCAGCGACGCUUAUGCGUUGUUGGGUAGGGGAGCGUUCUGUAAGCCUGCGAAGGUGUGCUGUGAGGCAUGCUGGAGGUAUCAGAAGUGCGAAUGCUGACAUAAGUAACGAUAAAGCGGGUGAAAAGCCCGCUCGCCGGAAGACCAAGGGUUCCUGUCCAACGUUAAUCGGGGCAGGGUGAGUCGACCCCUAAGGCGAGGCCGAAAGGCGUAGUCGAUGGGAAACAGGUUAAUAUUCCUGUACUUGGUGUUACUGCGAAGGGGGGACGGAGAAGGCUAUGUUGGCCGGGCGACGGUUGUCCCGGUUUAAGCGUGUAGGCUGGUUUUCCAGGCAAAUCCGGAAAAUCAAGGCUGAGGCGUGAUGACGAGGCACUACGGUGCUGAAGCAACAAAUGCCCUGCUUCCAGGAAAAGCCUCUAAGCAUCAGGUAACAUCAAAUCGUACCCCAAACCGACACAGGUGGUCAGGUAGAGAAUACCAAGGCGCUUGAGAGAACUCGGGUGAAGGAACUAGGCAAAAUGGUGCCGUAACUUCGGGAGAAGGCACGCUGAUAUGUAGGUGAAGUCCCUCGCGGAUGGAGCUGAAAUCAGUCGAAGAUACCAGCUGGCUGCAACUGUUUAUUAAAAACACAGCACUGUGCAAACACGAAAGUGGACGUAUACGGUGUGACGCCUGCCCGGUGCCGGAAGGUUAAUUGAUGGGGUUAGCGCAAGCGAAGCUCUUGAUCGAAGCCCCGGUAAACGGCGGCCGUAACUAUAACGGUCCUAAGGUAGCGAAAUUCCUUGUCGGGUAAGUUCCGACCUGCACGAAUGGCGUAAUGAUGGCCAGGCUGUCUCCACCCGAGACUCAGUGAAAUUGAACUCGCUGUGAAGAUGCAGUGUACCCGCGGCAAGACGGAAAGACCCCGUGAACCUUUACUAUAGCUUGACACUGAACAUUGAGCCUUGAUGUGUAGGAUAGGUGGGAGGCUUUGAAGUGUGGACGCCAGUCUGCAUGGAGCCGACCUUGAAAUACCACCCUUUAAUGUUUGAUGUUCUAACGUGGACCCGUAAUCCGGGUUGCGGACAGUGUCUGGUGGGUAGUUUGACUGGGGCGGUCUCCUCCUAAAGAGUAACGGAGGAGCACGAAGGUUGGCUAAUCCUGGUCGGACAUCAGGAGGUUAGUGCAAUGGCAUAAGCCAGCUUGACUGCGAGCGUGACGGCGCGAGCAGGUGCGAAAGCAGGUCAUAGUGAUCCGGUGGUUCUGAAUGGAAGGGCCAUCGCUCAACGGAUAAAAGGUACUCCGGGGAUAACAGGCUGAUACCGCCCAAGAGUUCAUAUCGACGGCGGUGUUUGGCACCUCGAUGUCGGCUCAUCACAUCCUGGGGCUGAAGUAGGUCCCAAGGGUAUGGCUGUUCGCCAUUUAAAGUGGUACGCGAGCUGGGUUUAGAACGUCGUGAGACAGUUCGGUCCCUAUCUGCCGUGGGCGCUGGAGAAUUGAGGGGGGCUGCUCCUAGUACGAGAGGACCGGAGUGGACGCAUCACUGGUGUUCGGGUUGUCAUGCCAAUGGCACUGCCCGGUAGCUAAAUGCGGAAGAGAUAAGUGCUGAAAGCAUCUAAGCACGAAACUUGCCCCGAGAUGAGUUCUCCCUGACUCCUUGAGAGUCCUGAAGGAACGUUGAAGACGACGACGUUGAUAGGCCGGGUGUGUAAGCGCAGCGAUGCGUUGAGCUAACCGGUACUAAUGAACCGUGAGGCUUAACCUU
rnacentral:rRNA from 1 species